GACGAACGCUGGCGGCGUGCUUAACACAUGCAAGUCGAACGGACAGACAGAGAGCUUGCUCUCUUGAAGUUAGUGGCGAACGGGUGAGUAACGCGUAAUCAACCUGCCCUUCAGAGGGGGAUAACAACGGGAAACCGUUGCUAAUACCGCGUACGAUUCAUGAACGGCAUCGUUUAUGAAUGAAAGGUGGCCUCUAUGUAUAAGCUAUCGCUGAAGGAGGGGAUUGCGCCUGAUUAGCUAGUUGGAGGGGUAACGGCCCACCAAGGCAAUGAUCAGUAGCCGGUCUGAGAGGAUGAACGGCCACAUUGGGACUGAGACGCGGCCCAAACUCCUACGGGAGGCAGCAGUGGGGAAUCUUCCGCAAUGGACGAAAGUCUGACGGAGCAACGCCGCGUGAGUGAUGAAGGUCUUCGGAUUGUAAAGCUCUGUUAAUCGGGACGAAAGAGUUCUGCGUGAAUAAUGCAGAAAAGUGACGGUACCGGAAUAGAAAGCCGCGGCUAACUACGUGCCAGCAGCCGCCGCCG
rnacentral:rRNA from 1 species